rnacentral:rRNA from 1 species
UACGAAGGGGGCUAGCGUUGUUCGGAAUUACUGGGCGUAAAGGGCGCGUAGGCUGUGCUGUAAGUCAGGCGUGAAAUCCCCGGGCUCAACCUGGGAAUUGCGCAUGAUACUGCGGCGCUUGAAGACGGGAGAGGAUGGCGGAAUUCCCAGUGUAGAGGUGAAAUUCGUAGAUAUGGGGAGGAACACCGGUGGCGAAGGCGGCCACCUGGACGGUAACUGACGCUGAGGCGCGAAAGCGUGGGUAGCAAACAGG